rnacentral:rRNA from 1 species
GACAGAGGUGCCAAGCGUUAGGCGGAAUCACUGGGCGUAAAGCGCACGUAGGCGGAUUGUUAAGUCAGGGGUGAAAUCCUGGAGCUCAACUCCAGAACUGCCUUUGAUACUGGCGAUCUUGAGUCCGGGAGAGGUGAGUGGAACUCCGAGUGUAGAGGUGAAAUUCGUAGAUAUUCGGAAGAACACCAGUGGCGAAGGCGGCUCACUGGCCCGGUACUGACGCUGAGGUGCGAAAGCGUGGGGAGCAAACAGG